AAUUUUCUGACGAAAUAAACUUGAUCCACCUUCUUCAUAUAGCCUUCAACAGGUCGCAUCUCCAAAUCUCCACCACGAUGUUUGUCUCAACGUGCGUAGCACACUGGUCAAAAUUUCUCAGACAAAAAUCACGAUUAUCGUCAAAUAUAUUGCGGCUAGAACUGAACCCGCCGAGAUGAACCUGUCUUGAACCUCGCUCUGAUACCACUUGUUAGGACCAAAAAAUCUGGUUUCAUGUGGAAGCUAGU
rnacentral:lncRNA from 1 species